rnacentral:rRNA from 1 species
GGACCAGACUCCUACGGGAGGCAGCAGUGGGGAAUAUUGCACAAUGGGGGAAACCCUGAUGCAGCGACGCCGCGUGAGUGAAGAAGUAAUUCGUUAUGUAAAGCUCUAUCAGCAGGGAAGAAAAUGACGGUACCUGAGUAAGAAGCCCCGGCUAACUACGUGCCAGCAGCCGCGGUAAUACGUAGGGGGCAAGCGUUAUCCGGAUUUACUGGGUGUAAAGGGAGCGUAGACGGCAGUGCAAGUCUGGAGUGAAAGGCGGGGGCUCAACCCCCGGACUGCUCUGGAAACUGUACGGCUGGAGUGCAGGAGAGGUAAGUGGAAUUCCUAGUGUAGCGGUGAAAUGCGUAGAUAUUAGGAGGAACACCAGUGGCGAAGGCGGCAUACCGGCGCCCAACUGACGCUGAAGCACGAAAGCGUGGGUAUCGAACAGGAUUAGAUACCCUAGUAA